rnacentral:rRNA from 1 species
CUGGCUCAGAUUGAACGCUGGCGGCAGGCCUAACACAUGCAAGUCGAACGGUAACAGGAAGCAGCUUGCUGCUUCGCUGACGAGUGGCGGACGGGUGAGUAAUGUCUGGGAAACUGCCUGAUGGAGGGGGAUAACUACUGGAAACGGUGGCUAAUACCGCAUAACGUCGCAAGACCAAAGAGGGGGACCUUCGGGCCUCUUGCCAUCAGAUGUGCCCAGAUGGGAUUAGCUUGUUGGUGAGGUAACGGCUCACCAAGGCGACGAUCCCUAGCUGGUCUGAGAGGAUGACCAGCCACACUGGAACUGAGACACGGUCCAGACUCCUACGGGAGGCAGCAGUGGGGAAUAUUGCACAAUGGGCGCAAGCCUGAUGCAGCCAUGCCGCGUGUAUGAAGAAGGCCUUCGGGUUGUAAAGUACUUUCAGCGGGGAGGAAGGUGUUGUGGUUAAUAACCGCAGCAAUUGACGUUACCCGCAGAAGAAGCACCGGCUAACUCCGUGCCAGCAGCCGCGGUAAUACGGAGGGUGCAAGCGUUAAUCGGAAUUACUGGGCGUAAAGCGCACGCAGGCGGUCUGUCAAGUCGGAUGUGAAAUCCCCGGGCUCAACCUGGGAACUGCAUUCGAAACUGGCAGGCUUGAGUCUUGUAGAGGGGGGUAGAAUUCCAGGUGUAGCGGUGAAAUGCGUAGAGAUCUGGAGGAAUACCGGUGGCGAAGGCGGCCCCCUGGACAAAGACUGACGCUCAGGUGCGAAAGCGUGGGGAGCAAACAGGAUUAGAUACCCUGGUAGUCCACGCCGUAAACGAUGUCUACUUGGAGGUUGUGCCCUUGAGGCGUGGCUUCCGGAGCUAACGCGUUAAGUAGACCGCCUGGGGAGUACGGCCGCAAGGUUAAAACUCAAAUGAAUUGACGGGGGCCCGCACAAGCGGUGGAGCAUGUGGUUUAAUUCGAUGCAACGCGAAGAACCUUACCUGGUCUUGACAUCCACAGAAGAAUCCAGAGAUGGAUUUGUGCCUUCGGGAACUGUGAGACAGGUGCUGCAUGGCUGUCGUCAGCUCGUGUUGUGAAAUGUUGGGUUAAGUCCCGCAACGAGCGCAACCCUUAUCCUUUGUUGCCAGCGAUUAGGUCGGGAACUCAAAGGAGACUGCCAGUGAUAAACUGGAGGAAGGUGGGUAUGACGUCAAGUCAUCAUGGCCCUUACGACCAGGGCUACACACGUGCUACAAUGGCGCAUACAAAGAGAAGCGACCUCGCGAGAGCAAGCGGACCUCAUAAAGUGCGUCGUAGUCCGGAUUGGAGUCUGCAACUCGACUCCAUGAAGUCGGAAUCGCUAGUAAUCGUGGAUCAGAAUGCCACGGUGAAUACGUUCCCGGGCCUUGUACACACCGCCCGUCACACCAUGGGAGUGGGUUGCAAAAGAAGUAGGUAGCUUAACCUUCGGGAGGGCGCUUACCACUUUGUGAUUCAUGACUGGGGUGAAGUCGUAACAAGG